UUUGAUCCUGGCUCAGAUUGAACGCUGGCGGCAGGCCUAACACAUGCAAGUCGAACGGUAACAGGAUAGCUUGCUAUCGCUGACGAGUGGCGGACGGGUGAGUAAUACUUAGGGAUCUGCCCCUGUGUGGGGGAUAACUAUUGGAAACGAUAGCUAAUACCGCAUAAUGUCUACGGACCAAAGCGGGCUUCGGCUCGUGCGCAGAGAGGAACCUAAGCGAGAUUAGCUAGUUGGUGAGGUAAAGGCUCACCAAGGCAACGAUCUCUAGCUGUUCUGAGAGGAAGAUCAGCCACACUGGGACUGAGACACGGCCCAGACUCCUACGGGAGGCAGCAGUGGGGAAUAUUGCACAAUGGGGGAAACCCUGAUGCAGCCAUGCCGCGUGUGUGAAGAAGGCCUUCGGGUUGUAAAGCACUUUCAGUUGUGAGGAAAAGUUAGUAGUUAAUACC
rnacentral:rRNA from 1 species